rnacentral:rRNA from 1 species
GAUGAACGCUGGCGGCGUGCCUAAUACAUGCAAGUCGAGCGAACAGAUAAGGAGCUUGCUCCUUUGACGUUAGCGGCGGACGGGUGAGUUACACGUGGAUAACCUACCUAUAAGACUGGGAUAACUUCGGGAAACCGGAGCUAAUACCGGAUAACAUAUUGAACCGCAUGGUUCAAUAGUGAAAGGCGGCUUUGCUGUCACUUAUAGAUGGAUCCGCGCCGUAUUAGCUAGUUGGUAAGGUAACGGCUUACCAAGGCAACGAUACGUAGCCGACCUGAGAGGGUGAUCGGCCACACUGGAACUGAGACACGGUCCAGACUCCUACGGGAGGCAGCAGUAGGGAAUCUUCCGCAAUGGGCGAAAGCCUGACGGAGCAACGCCGCGUGAGUGAUGAAGGUCUUCGGAUCGUAAAACUCUGUUAUCAGGGAAGAACAAAUGUGUAAGUAACUGAGCACAUCUUGACGGUACCUGAUCAGAAAGCCACGGCUAACUACGUG